AAGCACCGCAUCGUCAAGGGCUCGGAGCAAGAGCGGUGAGGGGACAUGAAGUACCACGAGCACAAAGAUCUGUUCCGAAUGCUGACUUUCAAAGAGAGGAGAGAAGUAAUUUGAUUUUUAUUUUUAAUUAUCUGGAGACAAAUCAUACCAACAGAGACCUUUUAUUGCA